CAUUGAUUACACACUAUUGGAGAGUUGAUACGAUAUCAAUAAGCACAACAAUGUUGUUGCCAUUUGAAUGAGCUUAAACGUCUGGAAUACUCGUAAACAGUGAAAUUUAUUUAUAUCGAAAAAGCUGUUUAUUUCUAAGAAGUGGGCUGCUCUCGACUGGAAGCGUGGCGUCUUCUGUAAUCCGGCUACUCGGAGGUCAGGUUGUAGGAUGGUCUGAGGUCGGGGGUCCUGUGCGAUGGAUUAGGAUAUGUGGACGGUGCGUCCGCACUAAGCUUACCAUCAAUAUGGGCACCAGAGAGGAGUCUCAGGUGUUCAGGUUGGCUAAGGAGGAGCGAACCGGGCCAGGGGCGACAGCCAGCAGCCAAGAGUUCCCGUGGAAAGCAGUAGUGGGAUAGCGCACCGGAGUGUGCUACCAUCGUCAGCCCGACCAAUAAGUCCAAACUUCAAUCUUUU